UACGUAGGGUGCAAGCGUUAAUCGGAAUUACUGGGCGUAAAGCGUGCGCAGGCGGUUCGGAAAGAAAGAUGUGAAAUCCCAGGGCUUAACCUUGGAACUGCAUUUUUAACUGCCGGGCUAGAGUACGUCAGAGGGGGGUAGAAUUCCACGUGUAGCAGUGAAAUGCGUAGAGAUGUGGAGGAAUACCGAUGGCGAAGGCAGCCCCCUGGGAUGAUACUGACGCUCAUGCACGAAAGCGUGGGGAGCAAACAGG
rnacentral:rRNA from 1 species